rnacentral:lncRNA from 1 species
CAAAAGGGACAAAGCAAUUGGUGGUCAGAAACGCGAAGCCAUGAAGCAACCUCUCUCGUUUUCCGCCAUUCUUUGUAGUAUUCCUGUAAUACAUUCUCCGCUCCAACUGCUCAUUUCUUCUUUUGUCUUGACAGUUUCGGUUUACUAUUGACUGCCCUCUCAUGUGCGUUGGUCCUUUUGGACAUUUUCUUUUCUUACAGUUGUCCGGGCGAAAGUGUUUGCUGCAGAAGUUGUCUGAAUCUUGAAGUAAAGAGGUUUUCCUUUUCCAAAAAAUUUAGCCAUUUUUAUGAUGAGUCGUUAUUAAUUUUACAGAAUGCGAGAACUACAUAAACGAAUAUUAACAAAAUAUAUUAUGCUAAGUUAUUGCUAUUAACCCAUGGGAUACGAAUGUUUUGAUGGCACGAAAAACAAAAUUGUAAUAUUACCUGUACGUCAUUGUCUAAAAAUAGUUAGCUGUAGAGAAUGAUGAUGAUGAUAAUGGUGAGGAUGAAGAUGAUGAGCUCAUUGACCCUAUCCCAGUAUUAUCAUUGAACAAUAAUCAUUCUGCAUUAUUGUUUCCGGUUGAUCCUAGAAACAAGUUCCAGCUCAGUCGUAAGAUCGGUAGCGGAUCAUAAGGAGAGAUCUGCCUCAGUGGAGUGGACAGCUUGCUGACCGACACUUGAUUUUUGCUUUAUCCAUUCUGCUUUUUAGUUUGGCUUUGUUUGGACGAACGACGAAGUCACCAUUAAGCUUGUCAGUGGCUCUUCUCCCAAUUAAAUUGAUCGUUUUAUUUUUCUAGCUUUUGCCCAUUUUAGUUAAAUUUUAGUAUUGUUGUGGUCAAUGCAUCGGUGUUUUGUUGAUUUAGAAUUUUGAUGUUUUAUCAUUAUGUUCUUUUAGGCGACAUGGAUUGUGCUUUGUUCCGUUUCUUUCUUGGGUUCUGCAACUGGCAUAGAUAUUGAUAGUUUCACUUGUUUCCAGCAAGUUAGCGGUGGUAACUUUUAUGUUUCAAAAUGAGUACAGGUAACAAGUGGAACUUUCCUUGGUUUGUGGCUUUCACAUGCAUGUGAGUAUACUGUUAAUGCUGCGAUGUGUGAAUUGAUGUUGUGCUUCUAGUAUAAUACGAUUGUAUGCCCAAGUAAAUGCUCCUUUGUUCCUUGUUGAGUAUCGACUUUUUGCCUGGAAGAUUACUUAUAAGAAGAAAGAUCGAUUUUUUGCUAGAGACAUGUAUGGGAAAAAUUGUUCAAAAAGUCCUAAACUUAUUGCACUUUUGCCAAUCCAGUCAUAAACCUUUUAACUUUGCCAAUUGAGUCAUAAACCUUUUUUCAUUUUUUGCCAAUUUAGUUCAUCCGGCCAAUUUUGGCCGGAAAAUGCUGAUGUAGACGCCGGCAGUGCCACGUAGGAUUGUCGGCGUUGACGUGGACAAUUUUUAAUAAUAUUUUAAUAUUUUUUUGAAUUUUUUUUUUCUGUUUUUCCCUUCUUUUUUUUGGACUUUCUUGGCCUUUUCCGGUGGUCGGUCACAGGCGACGGCUGGCCACCGGUCACAGCCAGCCGGCUGACCUCGCCGGCCCUUGCCCAAGCCAGAGUGGCCUCACCCAGGCGAGCAUCGGCCUCGCCCAGACUAGAUCUGGCGAGGCUAGCCCUCACCCAAGCGAGCGUUGGCCUCACCCAGACCAGAUCUGGUGAGGUUGGCCCUCGCCCCUGGCCGGGCGAUGGCAAUGAUUUUGCAUUAACGAGGAGGGCGACGACACCAAUCACGAACGACGAGGAGAAGAAAAAGACGACGGUGAGAAUCGCAUUGAGGUGCGAACGCAAGACCACCCUACGAGAUCCAGCGAGGACGGACUCGGAUUGGGGGCAUUUGCCGCAAAUCCAAGCCAGCUUAUCGGCGAAUUGCGCCGGAUUUUGCGCGAUGAGGUCACAGAGCUCGAUUAGCGCCUCCAUUUCUCCCCCCGCCAACCGAAGAACAACGCCCCCACCCUCCCCCUGGCGUGGCUUGGCUCGGCUCGGCUCGGCUUGAGAAGAAGAAGCCUCCAACCUAGAGGCCCGACGAUGCUGCUACGGCAAGAAGUGGUGGCGAGGCCCCCGAUCAGGUCAUUGGAAGCAAGGGGGGGGGGGGGGGGGAGAUUGGACGCACAAUGCGAUCGCACGGCGCGACACGAGCAAGCCAGCAGCGGAGGACGGCGGAGGACGGUGGAGGUGAGGCGGUUCGGGGGGGUUCCGUGGAGGCGAACGAAGGUGGGCGUUAAUGGUGAUCGAGAGUGAAAGUUUCAAUGGUUUCCAUUCUCCUAUCGCACAACAGCCAAAAAAAGAAGAAGGGAAAAAUAGAAAAAAAUAUUAAAAAUUCAAAAAAAUAUUAAAAUAUUAUUAAAAAUUAUCCACGUCAGCACCGACAGUCCUAUGUGGCACCGCAAGUGUCCACGUCAACAUUUUCCAGCCAAAAUUGGCCGGAUGGACUGAAUCGGCAAGAAGUGAAAAAGGUUUAAGAUCCAAUUGAUAAAGUUAAAAUGUUUAGGACUAAAUUGGCAAAAAUGCAAUAGGUUUAGGACUUUUUGGACAAUUUUCCCGACAUGUAUGUUUUGACUGAGCAAGAUCAAUGAGGGGGUUGCUAGAAGAACAACUGAGGCAACUAUAGUAUUCUCUUUUGAUGAUGGAAGAAGUUCUGUUUACCAAUUACGUAGGGACUAGUGAGCGACCUUAACGGUGGAGGCAGACAGAGAGAGAGAGUGAGGCAACUAUAGUAUUCUCUUUUGAUAACGUGAAGAAGCUCUGUUUACCCAUUAGGGCCAUUACAUAGACUAGAGAUCGACCUUGGCACAGAGAGAGAGAGAGAGAGAGAGAGAGAGAGAGAGAGAGAGAGAGAGACGGAGACAGAGAGACACAGCAGUUGCAAUGGACCUUGUGGUCAUCCUACGAGUGCUUUGUGAAGCCAAGUUUCCAUUUCUUCACGGCUUCCAAUGCCGUGCUUUUGGGAUUUGAAUUUUUAGGGAUCUCAAGUUAUGGCAGAAGAAGAAAUGUGAGUUGUAGGGCUAGACCUAAAAUCCUCUUGGCCUGGGCUAAAAGUUUUGGGAUAACUAUUACGUCUGUAGCAAAAUUUCUACACGCUUUGAAGAUAAUAAUGUCAUUGAGUUCUUCCAGUGUCAAUCACUCAACGAUAAAUGUGUAAAUCAAGUCUCACACUAAUAAUAGAUCUAAUAGAAGUCCAAACUUUAUUUGUGUUUUUAGGACUUUUUUGAACUUACGAAAAGCACGUUGUCUUUAUCAACAGGACAACAUAAGUUACAUAACACACAGAAAACACAUUCAGAUAAAGUAAUUUGGUUUUCUUCUAAUUUUGUAUCUAUUUUUUUUUCAUGUUAUUAUAGGUGCAAGAACAUCAAGUUUAUACAAAACUGACCUGAUAUGGCUAAGUAAUUACAAUUUCUUUUAAUUGCGAGAUGUUGUAUUGGAUAUAGAUAUUUGUAGUCAAAAUUUUUACAUGCUUAUUAGUUGGGCGUAAUAAAAUAUGUAUCGUUUGCUCAACUAAAACAUGCUUGAGGCAAACUUAUGAUGACAAAUUUUUGUUCCAAGUUUUUCCCCAUAUUUUUAAGACAAUCUCAUUAUGAACAAGCUUUUGGCAAAUUUUGCCUUAAUGGCAACAUGUUUAAUGGGCCAGAGCCCAGGGACUUCUUUUCUUUUUGGUUUGCAGGUUGAAGGCACAAUUUUAUUUUAUUUUUUUAAAUAAAAAUUGGAGCUUAUGCUUGUAGCUCCAAGAGUUGGCAAGCUUCGAGACCCAAUAAGCCUCAAGACAUGUGCGGGGUGAUUUUCUUGCGCUUCCGUGGAUGUAGAAUGUGCACCGUCAGUGCAAUAUGCAACUUUUUAAGUGCUUAUUCCUCCUCUCUUCUUAGCAACUGGCAGGCCUAUUGCUUCAAAGCUUAUUAACGGAUGAAAAGUGAAUUUUCAAUUUUGAAGUCAAUCUCCAUUAUAAGUUCCACUGAUCAUAGCCAAGGAGUCAAUGCCAAUGCCAAUAACCAAGUCUGUUGUUUCGUCAAUGGGCAGACGAUAAGGAAACUGCUCAUCGACGAGGCCAAAUUCUUGUGGGGCGUGGAGGGCAAGGUCGAGGACCUGCAAAAGGAG